UGUAUCUAUGGUCGGCACGUCUGGUAGCAUCUCUGGCUGCUGUUGACCUUGUUUUUGGAGUAAAACACGGUGGAAGCUGAAUUAGUGAGGAUGACUCCUGCUCCUGUCAUCUCUAAGCUCCUCACACAUCUUUACCUGCACAUGAGGAAAAUCACUCCUGUAGAAUGCAGAUGUUCAGAGGGAGAUGAUGCCACAUCUGGUCCAGCUGAUGGAAGGUCUUGAAGUUCUCUGACUGGCCUCGACUGAAGAUGGUCGUCUCACUGGAUUUAAGGUUCAGAUGCUCAGUAACAAACUCCACCAAUGAGCCAACAGGGAAGCUUUAGGUUUAUUAAAUGUUGCUAUGAAGGUUUCGCUGUUUUUCUUUGUGAAUGCAAUGUGCUCCAACUGAAACUUGAAUUAGAACUUAGAAGUAAAUCCUUCCAUCUGAAAGGAUUUAGUUGCAUUAAUAACCUCAUAACAUUCUAAUUUUUAUUCCAGUCUUGGUUGAAAAUAGAAUCUCUGUAUUGAUUCAGGUAAAAACUGAACUUCACAGCAUGUUGGAGCAAAACAACCAGAUGAAAACUGUGAUGGUGUUGGAUUGUCAGACCGUAAUGUUGCAGCUCAAAGCAGCUUUUCUAGCUCAGUUCAUUCUGACAUUCAGCUAUGAAUCAACACAGCAGAUGGUGAUCCAUGCUGUGGAAGUCUCACAUCUCCUGAUUUAAUGGAGCUGCUUUGCACUUUUUACACUGUUUAUUCACCAACACUUUAUUUAAUAAAAGUCCCAUCUAGUUUUUAUGAGGAAUGUGAUGUUUUAAUUUCUCUGUGAAUAACUGCAGUCUAAUGCAACAGCUGGAGUUGUAACAUCUGUCCUGAUAUUGAUCAUGAAGUAUUGAUCAGAAUACUUAUGGUCAGCAGUCAUCCCUGAAGUUUUACAUUAAAAUCUUUACUUGUGUUGUGAACUUUGGCAAGAAGCAGAAACGUUAGCGUUGCCAUGGAUACAUGAGUGUUAAAUUCUGUCCAUGUUUCCAUUUUGGGAAAUUCAGUCCAGUUCCAGAAUGUGGAGGAAUUUAGUCUCAAUCACAGACAACAAAUAUUAUCUGAAAGUCGGGUUAUUGUUGUUUAUCAGCACAAUACAAAAAGAUUAAUGUCAGAAAUAUUCCAGUUAAGACUCUAGAAUAUCGUGAUUUAUGUAAAUUUACCUCAAUAAUAUGAAUGUUCAGGUCAAGAUUGUACAGUGAUAUUUAUUAUGUAAGUUUAGCUGAUUAAAGUUUAUGACUCUGCACUAAAAUAUUAUUUAAAUUGACAUCAUUAUUAUAAUAUUUAGGGUCAG